AGUGAACGCUGGCGGUAGGCCUAACACAUGCAAGUCGAACGGCAGCACAGGAGAGCUUGCUCUCUGGGUGGCGAGUGGCGGACGGGUGAGGAAUACAUCGGAAUCUACUCUGUCGUGGGGGAUAACGUAGGGAAACUUACGCUAAUACCGCAUACGACCUACGGGUGAAAGCAGGGGACCUUCGGGCCUUGCGCGAUUGAAUGAGCCGAUGUCGGUUUAGCUAGUUGGCGGGGUAAAGGCCCACCAAGGCGACGAGCCGUAGCUGGUCUGAGAGGAUGAUCAGCCACACUGGAACGGAGACACUGGACAGACUCGUACGGGAGGCAGCGGUGGGGAAUAUUGGACAAUUGGGGCAAGCGUGAUCCAGCCAUACCGCGUGGGUGAAGAAGGCAGUCGGGUUGUAAAGCCCUUUUGUUGGGAAAGAAAUCCAGCUGGCUAAUACCCGGUUGGGAUGACGGUACCCAAAGAAUAAGCACCGGCUAACUUCGUGCCAGCCGCCGCCGUAA
rnacentral:rRNA from 1 species